UCCUACGGGAGGCAGCAGUGGGGGAUAUUGCCCAAUGGGGGAAACCCUGAUGCAGCGACGCCGCGUGUGGGAAGACGGUCCUCUGGAUUGUAAACCACUGUCCCCAGGUACCGUCAUCUUCGUCCCUGGGGAGGAAGCUCCGGCUAACUACGUGCCAGCAGCCGCGGUAAUACGUAGGGAGCGAGCGUUGUCCGGAAUUACUGGGUGUAAAGGGAGCGUAGGCGGGACUGCAAGUUGGGUGUCAAAUCUACCGGCUCAACCGGUAGCCGCACUCAAAACUGCAGUUCUUGAGUGAUGUAGAGGCA
rnacentral:rRNA from 1 species